UUUCAUGUAGGUUAGAGUCCUAUCUUUAGUUAUUUUACCAACUUGUCUUUAACUUUUAGCACAUUAUGAUAAAAGACAGUCAGCAGUAAGGUUUUUCUUUUGUUUUGUUUUGUUUUGUUUUUUUGAGAUGGAGUCUCACUCUGUCCCACAAGCUGGAGUCCGAUGGUGUGAUCUCGGCCUACCACAACGUCCGCUUCCCAGGUUCAAGCGAUUGUCCUGCCUCAGCCUCCUCAGGCACCUGCCACCACGCCCAGCUAAUUUUGUAUUUUCAGUAGAGAAGGAGUUUCUUCAUGUUGCUCAGGCUGGUCUUGGACUCCCGACCUCAGGUGACCCUCCGGCCUCGGCUUCCCAAAGUGCUGGGAUUACAGGUGUGAGCCACCGCGCCGGGCAGCAAUAAGGAUUUUUAUCCAGAAUCUAGUUUGGGGGAAGUUAUGCAAAUACACAUAUAUAUAUAUAUAUAUAUAUAUAUAUAUAUAUAUAUAUAUAUAUAUACGCACACAUACAUUUAAGGACUAAAUUCUCUUAUGAUGUUAACAUGAAUGCAUUUUGCAAAUAUGCUUGUAAUUUUUCAAAAUAUACCUGAUUUGAAUGUAAUGGAAACAAUAGGAAUGCCUGUAUAAGUUAGCAAGAAAUUUGAGAAAACUACUCUGAAAUUCUUUUUAAAAAUGAUACAUGUACUCCUUUGCCCAGAAUGUUUCAAAGGUACUUCUUUCCAUUUGUUUUUAGAUUUAUGACUCUAGAAUUCCAUUUAGAAGAACUCUCAUUCAAAUGCAGAAAAGAAAGGGAGCCCAAAGGGAAGAUAGAAGUGACUCACUGACAUAAAAUAGGCUGAGAAACAGUUACGUGAGUAAUGCAUAAUGAAAUUGUGUGAAUAUAAAGUGCAAGUGGAAAACUAUUAAAUUAUAUAAAUAAAAAAUAGUUAUAUCCAGAUUAUAUGCAUCUGUCUAUAUCUAAAUGGGUGAAAUAAUGCACUGACAUAAUAAGAAGUAAUAGUUAUAAUUUGGAAAAUAAAAGAGUAUACCAUACAAUAUAUUCUAGGGAAAAUAAUAGCAAUGAAAGACAAUGAUGACUUUUUGUAUGUAUACCCACAAAUAAUCUAUAUUUCAAGUAUUAAGACAGAUUUCAAAUAUUAAGUUUUAUUUAAAGAAUUUUUCUGUUCUUGAAAUCUGCAAAAAGUAAUAAAACCAUCUCCUACUCCUCAGUUUUCAGUUCUGCAAUUUUAUUUUCAUUCACCAUUAAAAAUUGAAAUGGUUAAUUUGAUUAUUGUCUUAAAUUACCUUUCAUUUUGGCACAACAGCUAGUUUUCUAAUCUUCAAUAUGUAUGUGAGUGUAUAUAUAUACACACACAUAGUUUUCUAAUCUUCAAUAUGUA
rnacentral:lncRNA from 1 species